UGACGAAGAAGGGGAUGAAGAUGAAGG
rnacentral:piRNA from 1 species